rnacentral:rRNA from 1 species
CGCGUAGGCGGCCUUCUAAGUCAGACGUGAAAUCCCCAGGCUUAACUUGGGAACUGCGUCUGAUACUGGGAGGCUUGAGUGCGGGAGAGGGAUGUGGAAUUCCAGGUGUAGCGGUGAAAUGCGUAGAUAUCUGGAGGAACACCGGUGGCGAAGGCGGCAUCCUGGACCGACACUGACGCUGAGGCGCGAAAGCUAGGGGAGCAAACG